rnacentral:rRNA from 1 species
UGGCGGACGGGUGAGUAACGCGUGGAGAACCUGCCGUAUACUGGGGGAUAACACUUAGAAAUAGGUGCUAAUACCGCAUAAGCGCACAGCUUCGCAUGAAGCGGUGUGAAAAACUCUGGUGGUAUACGAUGGUUCCGCGUCUGGUUAGCUAGUUGGUGGGGUAAUGGCCUACCAAGGCAACGAUCAGUAGCCGGCCUGAGAGGGUGAACGGCCACAUUGGGACUGAGACACGGCCCAAACUCCUACGGGAGGCAGCAG